rnacentral:rRNA from 1 species
GAGAGUAAAACAGUACGUGAAAUUGUUGAAAGGGAAACGAUUGAAGUCAGUCAUGCCGGCGUUGGAUUCAGCUUGCUUCGUGGAGCGGGCGCAUUUCCUCGCAUGGCAGGUCAGCGUCAGUUUUGCGCGGCGUGAAAAGGCUCGGGUAAGGUAGCUCUCUUCGGGGAGUGUUAUAGACCUGGGCAGAUGCGCUGCGCGGGACUGAGGAUUGCAGCGGACACCUCUUCGGGGGCGCGGCGACCGAACCCUGCUCGGCCACCCGAGUUCGAUAGCGUGCUAACGGACGCGGGAGCGGCAGUGCACCGGAACAGGCAAGCCAGCGGUUCGCUUAGGAUGCUGACGUAAUGGCUUUAAACGA